UGUGAAGCUCACUGUGAGCAAUGUGCUGA
rnacentral:piRNA from 1 species